rnacentral:tRNA from 1 species
GCCCCCGUAGUUUAGCCGGAUAAAAUAUUGGCCUGCGGAGCCGAAGCGCCGGGUUCGAAUCCCGGUGGGGGCGCCA